UACGAAGGGGGCUAGCGUUGCUCGGAAUUACUGGGCGUAAAGGGCGCGUAGGCGGCGCAUUUAGUCAGGCGUGAAAUUCCUGGGCUCAACCUGGGGACUGCGCUUGAUACGGGUGUGCUAGAGGGCAGGAGAGGCUCGCGGAAUUCCCAGUGUAGAGGUGAAAUUCGUAGAGAUCAUGAGGAAGACCAGUGGCGAAGGCGGGUCUCUGGACAGUUCCUGACACUGAGGCACGAAGGCCAGGGGAGCAAACGGG
rnacentral:rRNA from 1 species